CCUACGGGUGGCAGCAGUGAGGAAUAUUGGUCAAUGGACGCGACUCUGAACCAGCCAAGUAGCGUGAAGGAUGACUGCCCUAUGGGUUGUAAACUUCUUUUAUGUGGGAAUAAACUGUUCCACGUGUGGGAUUUUGUAUGUACCAUAUGAAUAAGGAUCGGCUAACUCCGUGCCAGCAGCCGCGGUAAUACGGAGGGUCCGGGCGUUAUCCGGAUUUAUUGGGUUUAAAGGGAGCGUAGGUGGAUUGUUAAGUCAGUUGUGAAAGUUUGCGGCUCAACCGUAAAAUUGCAGUUGAAACUGGCAGGCUUGAGUACAGUAGAGGUGGGCGGAAUUCGUGGUGUAGCGGUGAAAUGCUUAGAUAUCACGAAGAACUCCGAUUGCGAAGGCAGCUCACUGGACUGUAACUGACACUGAGGCUCGAAAGUGCGGGUAUCAAACAGGAUUAGAUACCCGUGUAGUC
rnacentral:rRNA from 1 species